UACGUAGGGACCAAGCGUUGUUCGGAUUUACUGGGCGUAAAGGGCGCGUAGGCGCGGUGGUAAGUCCCUUGUGAAAUCUCCGAGCUUAACUCGGAACGGCCAAGUGAUACUGCUGCGCUAGAGUGCAGAAGGGGCAAUCGGAAUUCUUGGUGUAGCGGUGAAAUGCGUAGAUAUCAAGAGGAACACCUGAGGUGAAGACGGGUUGCUGGGCUGACACUGACGCUGAGGCGCGAAAGCCAGGGGAGCAAACGGG
rnacentral:rRNA from 1 species